rnacentral:rRNA from 1 species
UACAGAGGGAGCAAGCGUUAAUCGGAAUUACUGGGCGUAAAGGGUGCGUAGGUGGUUUUAUAAGUUGGGUGUGAAAGUCCUGGGCUUAACCUGGGGAUUGCGCUCAAUACUGUGAAGCUAGAGUACUGUAGAGGAAGGUGGAAUUUCCAGUGUAGCGGUGAAAUGCGUAGAUAUUGGAAGGAACAUCAGUGGCGAAGGCGACUUUCUGGACAGAUACUGACACUGAGGCACGAAAGCGUGGGGAGCAAACAGG